CAUAUAACAGCAACGUAUUAGUGAACUAGGAAAGUGGGGUUGCAUACAAUCAUGAUUUAAAUAGCCCGCAGGCCUUGUGGAGACUCCGCAUGUUGAUAUAACGAUGUCGUCCGAGCACAUCUCUAAAGGGUUCCGACCUCGUCCGACGAUGACGCGUUUUUAUUUUGACUGAUAAAUAAAAACAAGUACAAUAUGAAUGUAAA